AAGUGCUGUCACCAGGAAGAAAAAGCUGGUAGUGGCACAGAGAGUGGGAGAGACAGAGACAAAAGAGAGAGGAACACUAUUUCAUCCACAGCUGACACAGAAGAGUUUCACCAACAGUCUCUCGGGGGGAAGAACACGGACUCCCACUUCAUCUAUUCAACACAAUGGCCCCAACUGCUGCUCUAAAGGGCACAGGCCUUUUGCUCCUCUUAGUUUUGGAAUUGCAGCCGUUCUUGUUCGUGUCUGGUCAAUCAAACACCACCGCAGAACCCACAUCCAUAGCUUCAACCACUGGACCAACCAUCCCACCUUCUUCCACCACACAAACUGUCUCUUCUGCCCCUACUGUCACCACACAAAUUGCCUCCAGUACCACUGCUCCUUCUACAUCUAUCUCCACCGGCACUGCAGGCUCUAGUACCUCUAUUG